rnacentral:rRNA from 1 species
AUGGCCAAUAUCAUCAACCGUUUCUGCUGUCUUUCUGGGCAUACUCCAAACUGGGACAAGUCUUUUAUUUUGUUUAGCGCCAACGUUUCCCAGCCUUUAGCUCAACAAAUCACUCAUAUAUUCCCUGUUCCUCUUGUUGAUGGUACAUCUACUCAUCUUGGCCACCCGUUAAUCCUCCCUGCUAAGGAUCGUGCUUCCGCUUAUAACUUUGUUUUUGACAAAUUUAAGAAUAAGCUUCCCACUUAUAAGGCAAAUAAACUAUCCCAUGCCUCUAGACUUGAGCUCAUCAAUUAUGUGUUUGCUUCCAUCCCUGUCUACUAUAUGUCCAACAUACUUUUUUCUAAAAAAUUCCUUGCGAAGCUCACCGCUGUCAUCCGUAAUAUUUGGUGGGUAGGAGUCAGAGAGGAGGCUGGUUCAAAUGUUUUAUGCCUAAGGGCCUGGAAAGACAUUUGUACACCUAAAAAGGAGGGGGGACUGGGUAUCAAAAACAUGCUUGCAAUGAAUCAGGGGUUGCUGCUUGCGGCUUCUUGGAGAUUGGCUGAUAACCCUGAUAGUCACAUCUAUCAAGUUCUCCGUGCUAAAUAUUUUCCAGGUUCUUCCAUUUGGAGAGCGAAUUCCAAUACGCCAAAAUCUGCUUUCUGGGCGUUUGUUCUCAAAGUCAUGCCUAUGCUCAAAGCCCACUCCUUUUAUCAAAUUUCCCAAGGGAAUGUUUCUGUUUGGAGUUCCCCCUGGUGA